rnacentral:rRNA from 1 species
UUUGACCUCAAAUCAGGUAGGACUACCCGCUGAACUUAAGCAUAUCAAUAAGCGGAGGAAAAGAAACCAACAGGGAUUGCCUCAGUAGCGGCGAGUGAAGCGGCAAAAGCUCAAAUUUGAAAUCUGGCGUCUUUGGCGUCCGAGUUGUAAUUUGAAGAAGGUAUCUUUGGGCCCGGCUCUUGUCUAUGUUCCUUGGAACAGGACGUCACAGAGGGUGAGAAUCCCGUGCGAUGAGAU